rnacentral:rRNA from 2 species
AACGGCGAGUGAAGCGGCAACAGCUCAAAUUUGAAAUCUGGCUUCGGCCCGAGUUGUAAUUUGUAGAGGAAGCUUUUGGUGAGGCACCUUCUGAGUCCCCUGGAACGGGGCGCCAUAGAGGGUGAGAGCCCCGUAUAGUCGGAUGCCGAUCCAAUGUAAAGCUCCUUCGACGAGUCGAGUAGUUUGGGAAUGCUGCUCAAAAUGGGAGGUAAAUUUCUUCUAAAGCUAAAUACCGGCCAGAGACCGAUAGCGCACAAGUAGAGUGAUCGAAAGAUGAAAAGCACUUUGAAAAGAGGGUUAAAUAGCACGUGAAAUUGUUGAAAGGGAAGCGUUUGUGACCAGACUUGCGCCGUUCCGAUCAUCCGGUGUUCUCACCGGUGCACUCGGGACGGCUCAGGCCAGCAUCGGUUUUGGCGGGGGGAUAAAGGUCCGGGGAACGUAGCUCCUCCGGGAGUGUUAUAGCCCCGGGCGUAAUGCCCUCGCCGGGACCGAGGUUCGCGCAUCUGCAAGGAUGCUGGCGUAAUGGUCAUCAACGACCCGUCUUGAAACACGGACCAAGGAGUCAAGGUUUUGCGCGAGUGUUUGGGUGUAAAACCCGCACGCGUAAUGAAAGUGAACGUAGGUGAGAGCUUCGGCGCAUCAUCGACCGAUCCUGAUGUAUUCGGAUGGAUUUGAGUAAGAGCGUUAAGCCUUGGACCCGAAAGAUGGUGAACUAUGCUUGGAUAGGGUGAAGCCAGAGGAAACUCUGGUGGAGGCUCGCAGCGGUUCUGACGUGCAAAUCGAUCGUCAAAUCUGAGCAUGGGGGCGAAAGACUAAUCGAACCAUCUAGUAGCUGGUUACCGCCGAAGUUUCCCUCAGGAUAGCAGUGUUGUUCUUCAGUUUUAUGAGGUAAAGCGAAUGAUUAGGGACUCGGGGGCGCUUUUUAGCCUUCAUCCAUUCUCAAACUUUAAAUAUGUAAGAAGCCCUUGUUACUUAAUUGAACGUGGGCAUUCGAAUGUACCAACACUAGUGGGCCAUUUUUGGUAAGCAGAACUGGCGAUGCGGGAUGAACCGAACGCGGGGUUAAGGUGCCGGAGUGGACGCUCAUCAGACACCACAAAAGGCGUUAGUACAUCUUGACAGCAGGACGGUGGCCAUGGAAGUCGGAAUCCG